AACAAUUAUUUUUAAUUAGAAUUUGUGCAAAUUGGGAAAGGAAUAACAUUAACAUUUCUGACUGAAAAUUACGUAUUUAACAGUGCGUGGCGGCUAAGACAACAAAAAAUUCAUCAACCAAUUAAUCCGGUAAUAGUACUAUACAUUUUAAACUAUUUGAAGAAAUAUAAGCAAAUGCAACAAACGCAGUCAACAAAUCCAAUUGGCACUCUCUGUGGUGGACGCGUGUAGAGCGCCAAUUUCUCUGUGUACUUUGUGUUGUGCUCCAGUUUAUACAUGGUUUUUGUUAUUGUAAACUGGCUGCAAGCUACACUGCCUGCUGUGCCUUUUCUGCUGCUGCCUCUUCUUUUUGGGGGGAUUAUGUUGUUAGUGCAUAUGGUUGGGGACUCGUCAGCAAAAGAAAUAUAAUUCAGUCUCUUCUUCGCUGCGUACGGUGCAUUCUCGAAAAAAUUUAGCUGCUGCGUAUAAAGACAACAUUAUAUACAUUUUGACUAUAGAGAAAAGGAAUAUAGGAAAUGCUACUCAACCGAAACAAGUAAUAAGAAAAACCCCAAAAAUAUACAUGUGACCUCCUUUAAAAAUUAUAAUUAACAUAAGUUGUCACCUAAAUGUGCCAACAAUUAGUAUAUAAGAACAAAU